CUCUCCAGCUGACUGACCGACCGAACAAAAAAACUUCCCUCACCCCGCGCAGGAUCAGCCAUGGUGGUGCGCCCGGCCGCCGCAUCCCAGCGCCGGAGCCGAUUGCUGCUCUCUCCCCUCCGAAUCCUCGCUCCGCUGCAGCCCGCGCAUCUCGUCCGUCCUGCUCGCCGUCCACUCACCUCACCCCACUGCCGCUCUGCUCGUCCCCAGGCCCGACGUGAGGCUAGACGAGGAGACCUGCUCGACGAUGCCCGGAGAGGCGCCCUACGCCGCGCAAGCUCCGAUUCUCCUCGACUCUGACUUCAAUACCGACGCUGCACUGCUGUUGCCUGUGGGUGUUGAUUGAUGGACCAUUUUCGAGUAGAAAUAGAUGUCCAGUCGUACUUGACAUUUGUAGAUGGCAAAAGAGUGUAUCAGAGGGGCAAAACAUCGGAUUUUGCAGCAGGUCGGGACUUGUCCAUGGCGCACAUAACAUCAGCUGUGGAGGAAACAAGUACGCAAAAGAUGUGGAGCAACAUGCCAUCUCAAGAAAACAUGCAAAGAACCAGAAAAAGACAGCGACGCUGAUAAGGAUGCAACUCCUCUUCCUAAAUGGCAAAAGUCAAAUGAACCUCCAGCAACCACUACGUACUUCUACUCCUCCGUGCACGCCAACUAAGCAAUCUUCUCAACCUUUUAUUGCAACUCCAAGCCCGGUGACAAGGUUGAGGGCAUCAGCCAUUGCGAUUUCUUCUUCACCUCCUAGUGCAUCUACGAGGAGCAAAAGUACUACAAAUAGCCCCGGCAAACAAGUUUAGUUAGUUUACUUGUAUGUUGAACUACUAGUGUGAUCCUUUUGGUGAUGUAUGGGGCAUGUGAUCCUUUUGGUGAUGUAUGGGGCGUUUGAUCCCUUUGGUGAUGUGUUGGGCUUGUGAUUAUCACAUAUACUCUAUGUCCUGCUGAA